CGUCACCGCUCGGUUUGAACCGCCCUCCACACGUCUCGCGUACGCAAUCGCGUGUGGGCGUUGUCAGCCAGUCGGAAACCAGCCUUAGACGGUGGCCCCGUGGGGACAUGCGCCGCGAAGCUUCCUAGCUUCGUUCUGCGCGCUGCUUACAGCCUAGGUUUGACUCCGUAAGUCGAUAGGCCCUCAAAAUGUAAAGCAUAGGAACGAGAGUUGUGCAUAGGAACCAGAGUUGUGAGGCUGCGCACUGCGCUGUGACGAUUUAAAGGAAAGAAAGAAAAAAGGGUGGAGAGAAGUGGGAUAAAGAUGAGCCCUCCCUUGGAAGGCUUGUUGAGUGAAUAAUAUGGAAAUGGCGCACCGGGCGUGGGCAACAGCGAGCGUGAACCAAAGGAAGCGGGAAAUGCGUUGCUUGAGGAAUGGGAGUAGCCUCUGCGCUGUGACGCUGGAAAGAGCUGUUCUCUGGCUUGCCGAUGCCCAUUUGCUUCACCGCACAACUGAGGUUCAGCGAGUGGGAUAGCUCGCCCACGUUAACACUGUGGUGCCUGGAUUAGGACCCACAGGACUCCAACCCAGCACUGUGCAAGAGCCAGGGAUACCUCCUGGGGCUUCUGUAUCCCCCUCACUUGCCACUGCCAGUUUGAGGCUCCUGCUCUACCAUCUUCCCUUACAGAGCUGCUGCUCUGGAGUUGUACUGUGCGGAUUACUGCCCUUCCUUUUGUGGACUUUUGUCUUCAGGGUUUAUCUGAGCUGGGGGUUGCCUGUCCAUCUCUUUCUGGAAGCUUGACACCUCCCCCCCCCCCAAAGGAUUACCAGCUUAGGAGAUGCGGUUUUUAUCCUCUCACGUGUGAGCAGGGUUUUUUGUUUGUUUGCUUGUUUAUUAUUAUUUUCACAUAGCUAGUGAUUCACAGCCUCUGGGCAGCAUAGUCAGAGAACCUGGGCCUCCUGACCAGCACCAGCCUAAACCCCACUUUAAAGUCCACAACAAGCAGAUACUAGAAAAGGGAAAGUAGCACAUUAUGUUUGCUAAUAAUUAUAAUUUGAACAAUUUAGCUGGGCAUGGUGAUACAUGCCAAUAAUCUCAGCACUAGGGAGGCAGAGGCAGGCUGUUCUCAGUGGGUUCAAGGCCAGCCUGGUCUACAAAGAGAGUUCCAGGACAGCCAGAGCUGUUACACCGAGAAAUCCUGUCUAAAAAACAAAACCAAAAAGGCAAAACAAAAAAGACAACUUUCUCUGUCUUGGGGUUUUGUUUCCUCAUAUGUUCAUCUCAGUUACUUAUUAAAUUGGUUUUUUUUGUUAAAUAAUAGAAGCUUUUUGAAUGUUUAUGCAUUAGCAACAAUGUUUUUCUUUGCCAUGUGUGCUAUUUUUUUUUU